rnacentral:tRNA from 1 species
UGGGGCGUCGUCAAGCGGUAAGACACAAGGUUUUGAUCCUUGCAUUCGGGGGUUCGAAUCCUCCCGCCCCAG